rnacentral:rRNA from 1 species
GAUGAACGCUGGCGGCGUGCCUAAUACAUGCAAGUCGAGCGAACGGACGAGAAGCUUGCUUCUCUGAUGUUAGCGGCGGACGGGUGAGUAACACGUGGAUAACCUACCUAUAAGACUGGGAUAACUUCGGGAAACCGGAGCUAAUACCGGAUAAUAUUUUGAACCGCAUGGUUCAAAAGUGAAAGACGGUCUUGCUGUCACUUAUAGAUGGAUCCGCGCUGCAUUAGCUAGUUGGUAAGGUAACGGCUUACCAAGGCAACGAUGCAUAGCCGACCUGAGAGGGUGGUCGGCCACACUGGAACUGAGACACGGUCCAGACUCCUACGGGAGGCAGCAGUAGGGAAUCUUCCGCAAUGGGCGAAAGCCUGACGGAGCAACGCCGCGUGAGUGAUGAAGGUCUUCGGAUCGUAAAACUCUGUUAUUAGGGAAGAACAUAUGUGUAAGUAACUGUGCACAUCUUGACGGUACCUAAUCAGAAAGCCACGGCUAACUACGUGCCAGCAGCCGCGGUAAUACGUAGGUGGCAAGCGUUAUCCGGAAUUAUUGGGCGUAAAGCGCGCGUAGGCGGUUUUUUAAGUCUGAUGUGAAAGCCCACGGCUCAACCGUGGAGGGUCAUUGGAAACUGGAAAACUUGAGUGCAGAAGAGGAAAGUGGAAUUCCAUGUGUAGCGGUGAAAUGCGCAGAGAUAUGGAGGAACACCAGUGGCGAAGGCGACUUUCUGGUCUGUAACUGACGCUGAUGUGCGAAAGCGUGGGGAUCAAACAGGAUUAGAUACCCUGGUAGUCCACGCCGUAAACGAUGAGUGCUAAGUGUUAGGGGGUUUCCGCCCCUUAGUGCUGCAGCUAACGCAUUAAGCACUCCGCCUGGGGAGUACGACCGCAAGGUUGAAACUCAAAGGAAUUGACGGGGACCCGCACAAGCGGUGGAGCAUGUGGUUUAAUUCGAAGCAACGCGAAGAACCUUACCAAAUCUUGACAUCCUUUGACAACUCUAGAGAUAGAGCUUUCCCCUUCGGGGGACAAAGUGACAGGUGGUGCAUGGUUGUCGUCAGCUCGUGUCGUGAGAUGUUGGGUUAAGUCCCGCAACGAGCGCAACCCUUAAGCUUAGUUGCCAUCAUUAAGUUGGGCACUCUAAGUUGACUGCCGGUGACAAACCGGAGGAAGGUGGGGAUGACGUCAAAUCAUCAUGCCCCUUAUGAUUUGGGCUACACACGUGCUACAAUGGACAAUACAAAGGGCAGCGAAACCGCGAGGUCAAGCAAAUCCCAUAAAGUUGUUCUCAGUUCGGAUUGUAGUCUGCAACUCGACUACAUGAAGCUGGAAUCGCUAGUAAUCGUAGAUCAGCAUGCUACGGUGAAUACGUUCCCGGGUCU